UACGAAGGGGGCUAGCGUUGUUCGGAAUCACUGGGCGUAAAGCGCACGUAGGCGGAUCUUUAAGUCAGGGGUGAAAUCCCGAGGCUCAACCUCGGAACUGCCUUUGAUACUGGGGAUCUCGAGUCCGGGAGAGGUGAGUGGAACUGCGAGUGUAGAGGUGAAAUUCGUAGAUAUUCGCAAGAACACCAGUGGCGAAGGCGGCUCACUGGCCCGGUAC
rnacentral:rRNA from 1 species